CACUUCGGUGGGGAUUAGUGGCGAACGGGUGAGUAACACGUGGGCAAUCUGCCCUUCACUCUGGGACAAGCCCUGGAAACGGGGUCUAAUACCGGAUACUGACCGGCCUGGGCAUCCAGGCGGGUCGAAAGCUCCGGCGGUGAAGGAUGAGCCCGCGGCCUAUCAGCUUGUUGGUGAGGUAAYGGCUCACCAAGGCGACGACGGGUAGCCGGCCUGAGAGGGCGACCGGCCACACUGGGACUGAGACACGGCCCAGACUCCUACGGGAGGCAGCAGUGGGGAAUAUUGCACAAUGGGCGAAAGCCUGAUGCAGCGACGCCGCGUGAGGGAUGACGGCCUUCGGGUUGUAAACCUCUUUCAGCAGGGAAGAAGCGAAAGUGACGGUACCUGCAGAAGAAGCGCCGGCUAACUACGUGCCAGCAGCCGCGGUAAUACGUAGGGCGCAAGCGUUGUCCGGAAUUAUUGGGCGUAAAGAGCUCGUAGGCGGCUUGU
rnacentral:rRNA from 1 species